AUUGAACGCUGGCGGCAGGCCUAACACAUGCAAGUCGAGCGGCAGCGGGAAGUAGCUUGCUACUUUGCCGGCGAGCGGCGGACGGGUGAGUAAUGUCUGGGAAACUGCCUGAUGGAGGGGGAUAACUACUGGAAACGGUAGCUAAUACCGCAUAACGUCGCAAGACCAAAGAGGGGGACCUUCGGGCCUCUUGCCAUCAGAUGUGCCCAGAUGGGAUUAGCUAGUAGGUGGGGUAAUGGCUCACCUAGGCGACGAUCCCUAGCUGGUCUGAGAGGAUGACCAGCCACACUGGACGUGAGACACGGUCCAGACUCCUACGGGAGGCAGCAGUGGGGAAUAUUGCACAAUGGGCGCAAGCCUGAUGCAGCCAUGCCGCGUGUAUGAAGAAGGCCUUCGGGUUGUAAAGUACUUUCAGCGGGGAGGAAGGUGUUGAGGUUAAUAACCUCAGCAAUUGACGUUACCCGCAGAAGAAGCACCGGCUAACUCCGUGCCAGCAGCCGCUGUAA
rnacentral:rRNA from 1 species